CUCAUGGCCCAGUACAGGCUUAAAUUUGCAAUCUUCUUGCCUUGGCUUCCUGAGUGCUGGCACUACAGGUGUGGGACACUGUGCCCAGCCAAUAUAUAUGAUUUCUGAACAUUUUCUGUCAGGUCUCAAAACCAGCACUGGGGAUCGAACUCAGGGGUCCAGCGUGCCCCAUAAGCAUUCGACCACUGAGGUCCACCCCAGCCCCUUCUUCCUGUUAUUAACAUCACCUUGAAAAACCUGGAGUCACGAAGAGAUAACCAGGAGCUACCUGCAAACUGAAGUCCCCGCAAACCAUACAUGCAGUUAUAUAAACCAUGGAAGGUAAUUCUUUCUCCACUUUUGUAACUGCGAGAAAACACACCAGAAGUGGGCACAUGGGAAAGACAGCAUUUAUAACAAACAUUUAUGUUUUAACAGGGGUCCUUUAACUCUCUCCUCCUCCCCUAAUAAAAUUCGGCUUUCUGAUGAAUGGAACAGUCCUUUCAUGUUGGUUUUGUCUCUUGCAGUUAACAACACACACAAAAAUUACAAUCAUUCAUUCCCUCCAUUUUAUGUGGCUUUCAGAGGCCAAAUGAGCAACGGGACCAUCUUGUUAAUAAAUCUUCCCAGUGAAGCUGGUUUGCUGUUUGAUUUAAAUGUGAAAAUGUGAAGUACUAUAUUUUAAAAAGAGCUUUAAAGGACCACUCCGGUACUUCUGACAGUAACAAAUUUCUCCACACUGCAUUUCCUCAAGUGUAAUGGAAGGUGAUCAAAGCCAGGUCUUCCACAGUUCUGCCAGCUGAGAGUAUCUGAGGUGGCUCCACUAUCACCGCUGCUGGCCUGACAUCAGGCUGUUGUUUAAUAGGACGAGAGGGAAGGCCGCCAAUUUCCACUGCGCCCAGGACCACAGUGGCCUGCCAGCCUCCCUCGGCAGUGUGUGAGCAAGAACGAACUCGUUCUUGGUGGCAUGUGCGUGCAUGCAUCAGCUCACGUGCAGAGGCACGUAGACAGAAGAGCUGCGCGAUGUGUGCACACCACACUCACUUCCCGUCUUUUUACGUGCUCACUAUGACAACUAAGAAGAAUGAAUCAAAAUGCAACUUUCACUUUUGUUCCUCAGAAGAGGGGAGGGACUGUCAGUCUCAAAAACUGCAUCCUCAGUUUGACUUUUAAAAAGUAUCUUGAAAGCAAAGCAGUCAAUCCUUCCAGUUUUCACAGUAGUAUCCUCCAGUUCUACAAACUUGAAAAGAACUGGGCACAACAUAUUCAAAGCGUAAGAUGCAUUCAGAUGUGGUGACCAAGUCUUACAGGAACAACAUCAUUUUAACAGUGGUUGGAGCUGAUUCUACCUAUAAAUGCAGGAAGUUCUCAAGUAUCAACAUAUGCUAACUGAAUCUGCUUUACAUUUAUUACUAUCAACGAAAAAAGUCUAGUUUAUUAACAUUUGCCCACUCCUGAAAUUUCCUGGCAGAAAGCAAUCUGGUCAAUCACAUUUAGAAGGGCAAAAAGAAAACCCGGAAUUGCAUUCAUUACAAUCUUCCUUUAACUAUCCAUCAACUUCUGGGACAGCAGUCAGGUCAGGAAUAAUGUGGGAGCAGAUCAUGUUCAUAACUGGCAAUGAAACUUUACUCCGGACAAUAAAUCUGGUGUAAAUCCUCGCAUUAGAGCACUGAAGAAGAGGCACUGGAAAAUUCUGGUACCUGGAAAUGCGUUUGCUCUGGUCCUGUGAUGGUGCCUGAAACAGUGGGAAACUGGCUCAGUGAUAAAAUGAAGAAGCCAAAGAAGAGCCCCGAUUUCUGUUUUUAGCUCUGUGGCUGACUGCAGAAUAAACCUAGGUAAAGUACAUGGCUGAGAUGUGCCUUAUUCUCAGGAUGAGGAUAAUAACAGCAAAUAAUAUUUUCUGAUUUUUAGGAGUACGGAAGAAAAAAGGAAGCUAACAAGUGAAAAGUUUUACGCAGCACUUCCCAACAGGAAUUAGAAGAGAACAAAACACAGUCUGGGGAUCCAUCCUGGUACUGGACAACUCCUCUGAGAAAUGGGGAGGAAAACACGCUACACAAGCAGGAAGUGUUAUUAGCACUUCCUCCAUUCAUAGUUAAGACACACACACACACAGCACCACUAACCUAAUCCACUUACCACUCAGUGAACACGAAAUCAGCUGUGGGAAGCACAACAGUGAUGGGAAGACAGAAGUGCCCCUGUACCCAAGGUUUUCAUGCUAAGAUAGGAAAGAUGGACCCACGAUUCAGCAUACGAUAAAACUCAACUUAUGUACGAGUACUUUGCCAAAUUAUAGACAGUUUCUGACAGUGAAGUUUUUCAACUGUAAUACAAUUCCAAUAAUAUCCUCAAACCAUCCUUUGUUUUUGUCCAGCUGCAAAUUCAUUUAAAAAUUAAGAAAAGAAGUAUUCUCAAAACUCAAACUGACCAGUAAAGGGACAGUCACACAGCACACAAGAGAAGAUGCACACACUGAGUGGCAAAAUCCUUAAUCCUUGUAAAAUACUUACCAUGGUAAAAUGGACACGAGGCUCUCAGACUUUGCCAGGGUAUUUGGAUCUUUCAGAAAUAGUAACAAAUCAUAUCCUCCAAGUAUAAUCUUUUUUCCAAACAAUUUUUUAAGGUAUUAUACAUAUAUUUUUCUUAGCUGGUUAACAAUUUCUCACUGCUCAUGCUGUAAUUUUCAGUUAGAAUAAGAACUCCUCGGUGAAACAUGGGAAUAGAUGACCCAGGACAAAAGCAGUUUGCCCUGAGAUUACACUGCACACCACUUGAGGUUGUAGAGCUUGCCUCUCGGAAGCUCCAAGUCAGAAUACAGAAAUGACAGGAUCAAGAAAUAAAGACAAAGCUCUGGCAAUGACUUUAUCAUCAGAGCAUAAGUCUUCUAUAGCAAGAGGCAGACAAUAUGCUCCCGACUCCUAUUGCUUGCCAAUCACUAGCAUUUAGAUCUGUGUCCCAUUUUCUGAUAGACUAAGAAGCAGGGACAAGAAACACAGUCAAAAACAUUUCUCAAAGUGGGGGAGAGAAAGAAGUUGAGUCAGUUCAGCUGCGUAGAACUGGCUGGUUUUAUCUGCUUGGUGGAGUAUCUUAAGACAGGAAUAAAAUUAAGACAGGAAAAAAUUAAGACAGGAAAAAAAAAAUAAAAAAAUCCAAGCAUUAAUCCCAGCAAUUGUAUGAUUAACCAUGUAGCUAUGAACAAACAUUUCCUACAUAUUCCUGUCACAUCAUGGCAAAGUCAGCCUCAUUCUAGUUAGGAAAUUAAAUUCUGAUUUGUUUGAGCUUUUGGAUCUUGAUCUUUGCUUUUUUUUUUUUUUUUUUAAUACUAGGGAAUGGAAAUUAAAGUAAAAUCUGGUUAUGAGAUGGGAAACAACAGCCAUUUCACUUUUCAUUUCAGUGUCUGAGGCACUGGUAGCAAAUCUUAGCUAAACACCAAAAACACUUGCUCCACAGCAAAGGGAAUCUUGUCCAAAAAACUUUUCUGCAACACACUAAACUUAAAAACUUGCACAAAUGAAACAAAGCUUCAAACCUGAAAAAUCCUACUUCAUCCUUUUUCCCCAAAACUCUAGGACUUUCAACUAAAAUUACAGUCACAAUGUUGCUUCUCUGGUUUUUUUUUAUGACAAUUUAUUUCAGAGUUUUGUUUUCAUUGUGCUACUUGAACAUAUAUCCAGGAUCUUCAUUUGAGAUACACAAGAAAGAUCAACACACACUUAAAAACAUCCCUCUAGCUGAAACAAUUCACGCCAGCAGAAGCUCUGAAUUAUGGAUGAAGCUAUUCAAACUCUGAGUAUUCUUAGCAUUCGCAGAGCUUAACAGACCAAUAUAUACUUCAUCAGUGCUAAAUCUGAAGACAAAGUGAAAAAACCAUAACUGAAGAGUGACAAGCCAAGGUCCAGCAUCCGCAGAAUGAAGAGCGACACCAGACAUUCCACUCUUCUCCUACUCCCUUGGCAUGGAGGUCAGCAGGAACUAAGCAUUCUACUUGGAGAAGUCAAAAAAGAUUAACAGUUUUCUUUUAAGAAAAUAUUCAAAUAUUCCCUCACUUUGAAAGAAAAUUUUGAGAGAUCUUCCCACAUAAUUGGGGUGUAAUGAUUUUGCAGGACUUUACAGAUAUACCAGGAAUGAUUAGAAAUAGCCAUUGGGGAAGACAUGCCGAUCCUUCUUACCUCUUUGGAAAGGGCACACCUGAACAAAAACCCUCCACUGUUCACACACAGUGGAAAACACAUCUUUGGAGGAUGUGUUGUGUAUGUGAGAGGAUUCAAGACCAAACAAUCCAAAAAAGGCUUGCUGGAAAGCUAAGCACAACUCUUUUUUGAAAAGAAGUUCUGGAGAAACCAGCACAGAACACUACUGUAGUAAGCCUAGACUAUCCUGAAAUACCAAAGACCUGGCCUGUCCUGACCAAUAAGCUACUAUAUUUCAAAGAACCUCCUAUUCUGCUGACACUCCCACAGGUCAUGAUGCUCUUCUUUUUGUUUGUUGUUUGUUUUUGAGACAGGUUCUCACUAUGUAG